AGAGCAGGUUUUUAAACUGCCAGGUAGGUUAUUAUUAGUGGGGCAUGAAAUAAAUUUAAUGGGUCGCCAUCAGAAACAAUUUAAAGAAAUAGACUAGCACAGAGUUGGCAAUCCAUACUGGCAGGCGGGGGGGGGGGGGGGGGGGGGACUGUUAAACUCCUUCUGAAGAAACCCUUUCACCAUACAGAAAAGUCAGUUUCCAGUGAACUAAAGGCCUACAUGUGAAGAUUGACACUGUACAACUUUUAGAAGAGAAGAUAAAAUAUCUUUGGAGCUGGAGAGUAGGAAAAGAUCUCUUAAACAAGAUACAAAAAAAAAAAAAAAAACCACCUAACCAUAAAGCAAAAGAUUGAUAAAUUCUACUACAUUAAAAUUUAAAGUACCCUACAACCAAAGGCAUGAUUAAUAGACUGAGCCAAAAAAGCUACAUAUCGCGGGAAAGUGUAUGUAUAUGUGUAACUGACAGGGGACAAUAUGCUGAAAAUAUAAAGGAUGGUCACAAAUUAGUGAGAAACAGUGAAAGCCAACUAGAAAGAUGGGCAAAAGACUUCAAAACAGGCACUUCACCAAAAGUAGAAAUCCAGUGGCCUUUAAACAUGCAAAAAGGUGCUCAAUUCCAUUAACAGAGGUAUGUGAAGGGAAACUUCAAGGGAUGUGACAAAAACUGUCACAAACAAAACAGAAAACUGUCACACUUAGAAGUGUGACAAUAUGAAGUAUUGGCAAGGAUAUAGGACAAUGGGCAUUCUAAUAUAUACAAACUUAUAAAAAUCAUUUUGGAAAAUACUGUGACAUUACUGGAUGAAGCUGAGGAUGUGCUAACUGAUCAUUCAAAAUUUAGCACCUUGGUGCAUAUUAUAGAGAUACAUGUGCUUAUAUGCACCAGAAUAAGAAUAUAUAUACAAGUGCUCAGAGCAGCACUAUUCAGAAAUGUUCAAAACUAAACACAACAUAAAUGUCUAUCAAUAGAAAAAUUUGUGGAAUAUUCACACAAUGGAAUAGUAUAUACCAGUGAGAAUAAGAAACUGUAGAUAAACACAAAAACAUCAAUAAAUUUUACAAACUUAAUGUAGAGCCAAAAAGUCACAAGAAGGAAUUCACAUAUCAUCAUUCCAUGUAUAUAAAAAUGAAAAAGAAGAAAAUAAUAUUAUUUAGAGAUGCAACAAUAGCAGUAAAGGAUGAACGAAAGAAGAAUGAGAUUACUCUAAGAACAAGAAGAGCAGUUACUUCUGAGAGGUUGGAGAGGAUUAUGGUGGAUAAGAAAAAAUCAGUGUCUAGAGUGCCUAUGAUGGCAGAUACAUGAGUGCUCAGGCAUCCUUUCCAGGGCUCCCUUUCUGGUCCACUCCUGCCUGUGCCACCCCUCUCUACUCACUGACCCCCCACACACAUCACUACCACCUAGCUUCCCUUGCUAUUCCCUACACUGGCCUGUGCAUUCCUAACCAGGGCCUUUGCUCUGGUCCCUCCUCUGUGGAUUGAGUAUGGCCCCUCCAGACACCCACUUGCUAUCUCCACUCCCUUUAAGUGUUUGUUUCUCCUCCCAGAAGCCUACCCUGGCCACCUUCUUUAAUCCUCCAGUCUGCUCCCCACACUCCCCAGCAGGCUGAUCCUCUCCUUCCUGCUCUGCUUUUCCCUUUAGCCAUCACCUUCCAAUACACUAUACAAUUUACUUUCAUGAUACUUGAUUUAUUUUACUUUGUGCUUCUCACCAAUAGAGUGUUAGCGCCCAGGGGGUAGAGAACCUUGCCUGUUCUCUUUGUAGGUGUAUUGUCAGGCUGUAUAUGUAGCAGAUACUCAAUAAAUAUUUGGUGCGGAUUUAUGACCAUCUAUACUUGUCAUAAUCACAACAGAAAAAGCAUUUCUUAGUGUGGAUUAAGGUAAAAAGAUUUCAAACUACUGCAUUAGAACAGUUUUAUAUACGUUUCGUGUGUGGGAAAAGAGAAAAUAGUUAUGAUAGAAAUAGGAAGGCUAUACUUUAUCCUGUAGACCUACACUGUCCAGUAUGGCAGCCAUUAUCAAUUUAAUUAAAAGAGUAAAAAUUCAGUCGCUCAGUCUCACCAGACAAAUUUCAAGUGCUCUAUAGCCAAAUGUGGUUCACAGCUACUACACUGGGCAGCACAGACAGAUACAAAACAUUUCCAUCAUCACAGAAAUUUCUAGUGGGCAGUGCUGCUAUACACAAUAAAAAGCUCUUGCUAUAUUUUAAGCUGGAGAAUUAUACAAUCACAUCAGUGAUUUCUGAAGGCAACUGGCAGCUACAGAGUGAAUGAACCAAAGAGAGAAGAGAGUAGAAGCUUCAGGAAGGUCAGUUAUAAGGCUUUUAAAGUGUCAAACAAGUCAGAGAAUGGCAAAAGAGCAGGAUCUGGUGGGUGGGUGAGUGGGUGGGUAAAUUUAAAGGAAUUUCGGAAUGAGCCUCAUUAGGAUCUGUUGACCUGAGGAAAGGUAGGAACUGGAGUGCAAGUGAGGAUGUGGACUGGCCAGGCAGGCUCUAGGGGAGGAAAAACUGACCAUCCCUUAACUUGGUUCUGUUGACCCAGGGGCUUUGACUUAGGAGACAUUUGAAAAAGGUCAAAUCAAAAUGCAAGAAUGUGCAUGGCUGCACUGGAGGACCAGACCCUCAGCACUCCCCACCCAGGUAUCUCAGGUAGGAGGGAGGGUGCAGGUCAGAGACUGAGGAAGCAACGAAGCGAGAAAUAGGCAAGGUCAGGGAAUGUGUGAAAUUAUCUGUUGUAAUCAUUUCUUGAGGAGAAAAAAGAAAGCUGAAAGAGUCCAUUUUUAGGCAAUGUCAAAAUGACUUCUUCAAAUAACUCUGUUGAUAUAGCAAGAAUAUGUAUCGGGUAGACCAAGAGGAUAAUACAUUUGGCUUUGAACACAUGAAUUUUAAGCCUUUAUGACUCCACUUGGCAAACGGUCUCCAGUCACCUAUGGUACCGAGGAAAACAGGGCUUGUUCUCUUGAUUCAAAAAGUAAAAUGAUGUCUCCACAAUUAGAUGCCAAAACGAAGCUGAAAGUCAUCUAUAGGGGAAAUGAGUUCCAGAGUGCACACAUUAAAAAUGAUAAUAAAUACAGUCACUUUCUAGAUUCUAGUUUAUACCGAGCCAAGGUCAGUGGUUUAUGGAAAUACUAAUGGCUCGUACCUGUCCUUUUUAAUGGACAGCAGAAGCAUUUGUAACGGAGAGGAGCAUUCAACUCUGGUUUUGAGGAUGGCAAGGAGGGAGUUCUGGAACUGGUGAUUUACAUCUAGCAGUUUUGACUACUGAUUUAAAUUCAUUUGAUUUUAAUCAAAUCUGUCCCAGCUGAGAAGAGGAGCUCAUAAUAGCUUGUCUUUGUUUAAUCCUAAAAAAGAUGGGAUUGUGUAUUUUGAGGACAGAAGCACUCAUUUUGUCUGCAGUUUAAGUUAACUAUUGACAAGAAGAACAAAAACAGGGUAAGGACUGCUGGUCCCUGUUAAUAGGGGGAGGCUUUCCUUUCUUGUUCUUUUUUCUUUGUUUCCUUCUCUCCAUCUCUCACUCCCUCAUGAUUUUAGUUUUUCUUUCCUUUUACUACUCUGAAAAAAAAAAUACAGUUCCUUAAUUGACCCUCAUAGGUAGAUGCUAUUUCAUACUUAUGGAGCACUUCUGCCUCCACCAUCUUGUAAGAUCAUCAUAUUUCGAGGGAUCAGUAGGAGGAGCAAUGAGCAAACUGAAGUUCAAGAAGUUAGUGACUUACGUAAGGCCACGUAGUAAUUUAGCAGCCAAUAGAUAGGUCAUGCCUGUGAUAGCCAACCUCCCAGGUAGCCCUAAAUUAUCUCUGCCUCCUUGUAGUCACAAACUCGGAGUAGUCCCCUGCCUAUGAUAGCAGGGCUGCUCCAACAGCGUGCCAUACAAUGAUGAUCUAUCACUUCCAUAAUUAACUUAUAAAAAAAAUGGCAUCUUUCUUCUUGGUCCUCUCUCAAUCGCCCUCUGUCCCUCAAACCUCAUGCAUGUCUCUCCCUCUCCUUUCUCCUCUCUCCUGUCUCAGUCUCUUCUUUCCCCCACCCUCUAUCUCUCUGUCUCAGCUCAUUCACUUUGGAGGAAACCAGUGACCUAAGCCACUGGCUUGUGGAGAGCCCACCUGAGGAUUCCUUGAGCCAACAAGGAACUAGCAACUCUUGUCAACACACAUGUGAGUAAGCCAUCCUGGAAUCAGAUCACUCAGUCCCAGGCAAGUCAUCUGCCGAGUACAGACAGCCUCACCCAACAUUUUGACCACAGAUUCACGAGAGACCGUGGGCCAGAACCACCAGCUGCACGGUCCCAGAUUCCUGAGCCUCAAAAACUAAAUGAGCUCAUAAAUAAGUGCUGCUUUAAGCAGCUAAUUUAGAGGUAAUUUCUUCUAUAUUAAUGGAUAACUACUACUGUGUCCACGUUUUCUCUUCCUACUCAACAGAGGCUACCAGAGGCUACCCAGCAUUCAAAACACAAUUUUGGUUAUAGGGGUUUGCCAAAUAUUCUGGUAGGCUCCGUAUUCUAAAAAGACACACGAGACCGAUGUCUGCACAUGUAAUUUUAAAUAAAGCAGGUGUUUUAUUUGGAUCUGAGAGCAGGAAAAAAAAAAUCAUACCAAAAGUGUUUGUGCUAAAAAUAUACGAUGUGUUUGUGUGUUUGUAUUUUUGAGUUCAUUUGGAAACCUGUAACUUCUCUCAACUCAGUCUUGCAACAGGAGACUAGCAGAGAGAGAGAGAGACUGAGUUGGAUUCGGUCUUUUGUGGAAGGAUCCUGGGGGAAUUACCAAGAGCUCAAGAAGUUCUUCAAAUCCCAGCAGCACAGCUGGGAUAUUGAUAUUGAAUACCAGGAAACUAAGGAAACGUCUUGCUUGACUGCAGUUGUCACAUUAUCAUGCAUUACAGUGCAACAGCCCAAAUCAAAGAGAUAUGCAAAAUUCACCAAGGACAGCAGCGAUGCAUUUUUUCCCUGUACAUGUGGAAAGACAUCAGGAAAAGGAAGGCGGGUACAAAUGCAAAAACAUCUGCUCCCUAAACCCAUUUGAAAAAUAUUUCUGCAAAAAUAAAUGUGAAUCAUCGAUAGUGUAUAGCAGAUGGAAGUGCAAUAUGUUUAAUUUAGGGGGGGAAAAGGAUGCAAUCGAGGAACCAGAGAGUAUGGAAAUAAAAUAAUACUUAAGCCCAUUUCACAUACUGCUGCCCAUUACGUUACACUCUGCUUGGCAAGAAGAUAUGGAGAAAAUCACCUUUUAUCUGCAUCAAACUACUCUGAAAGAAUUCCAAGUAGUUACAGCACACUCUCUAAUGGUAUUUACACUAUAGAUUAUUUGACAGAAGCCAAAUCUUGGGACAGCAACAUAAUUUCCCCGUAAAAUGAAAAAUAAAUUAUAGAGUUGUUCUUUGGUUUCAAAAAUAUUUUAACUUCACUGACCUGCCUCACAGGGACUUAACAAGACAGAGCAAAUAAGGGAAUAAAUUAUUUUAGAUAAUAGGCAGUAACAAUGAACUGGCUCAGGAUUUGGGGAAGUGCCAUGUAAAUGUACGAUUAUGCAAAAAAAAAUCAAAUAUUCCGAAUACCUUUGAAAAAAUGGCCAAUGACUGACAAUAUAAAAAGGAACAUAAGUCAACUUUUUGUACUGUAGAUGAAUUAUCUUUGGCCUAACAUUAAAACAAAGUUGCUUACCUUUUCAGCACAUACUGAAGUCUCUUGAAUUCAUAAUAUCAAUUAGCCAGAAAGGUGAAAACGUUUUAUAUUUUCAGAAAUCAUUUAAAGAUUUUGUUAGAAUUUCUUAGGCAAAACCUAAGUGGGAAAACAUUACUAUUACACAGAACUGGAUUUAUUUAUCUUAUCUGAUAAAAUAGCUUACUUAGGAAUUACAAUGAAUAAAUUAUGAUAGUGAAUUAAUCACACUCUAGAUAAUACAACCAAUAUAUAGUCACUGGACGGAUUGAUAAAAAACUUUUAGGUUGUAAGAACUGAAUCAAUAAAUUGUUUAUCAAUAUGUCGGUAAUAUUUUAAUCAGAGUCCACAUAAGAAUAACUUGUAAGGUUCUUUAAGGAAAUUCUAAACAUUUUAGAGCUAGAAAAUUUUUAUAGAAUCUAUUUCUUGAAGGGGAAAUACCAAAGUCAAAGUAUCUACAGCAAUCUCUGCUACUGUUCAUUAUGUUAUAUGUAAGAUGUAAAGGAGAGGCAUAUAUCUUCUUAAUGCAUGUAAUUUUGAAAAGUAAACUCAAACCAAAUGUACAGAAAGGAUUCAUCAAAUUUCGUGUAAAAAAAAUCAAAAGGUACUUUUUAUCUCUUAUAGAUAUAGGAGGUAGCAAAGACCUCUUUAACUCUGAUAAGGAAACAUACCUGAAGAAAUUAAGUGUCAUAUGAUGAAAUAUGGUAACAACCAGGUCACCUUUAGGUUUCUGAUAAAAACAAAUCACAUUAAGUCUUUUAAAAUGAUCUAUGCACAGUACUGGUAGCCAUAGCAGAAAAUGUUAUAGGUCAGUGGACGGUUUAUGAACUUAUCAAUAGGGAUAUAUAGGGAUGAAUUGCCUCAAUUCUUAAAAGCAAAGAUAUAAAUAAAUUUUUAUAAUAUUGGAAUUUAAUAUUUUAAACUUGGGGCAGUUAUUUAAGUAUAUAAGAAGGAACACUAUUCUAUAAUAGGGACUAGUGAAGGCCAGUGGAACAUUUGACCUUUAAUAUAUAAAAUGUUCUUCAGCAGGCUGACAUUCAGAUAUGAGAAUGGUCCCACUAAAUGACAAUGAUCCUCAUUUAUCAAUACCUUAGAGUAAGUGAAUACUGUACUGCCUAGAGACUUAUUAGUCAUUGGAGUACUUGUAACUGUGAAGUAUGGAUUUAACUGCUUCUCCCCAAUAUUUAAUUUUUCAAAAACCCUGUAGAAAUCUAUGGGUUCCUGAUAUUGACUACAUUAACUUAAUUUAAAACCCAUAAUUAAUCACAUCAAAUCAUCAUGUGCUAGAUAAUUCAAGGCUUUAAAAAAGACUGCAAUUUAUAUAUUAGAUUUAUGUAGGACUUUAAAAACAGAAGCUCUGAUCUUAUGAUUGAGAAAUUCAAACUUCAUUGAUCCAGGAUUGAAAUAAGCAAAAUUAACUAGAAAAGCAAAAUGGCCAUAAGUUAUUUCCCAGAAAACAACAGAUGCUUUUAUUGGCAAAUUAAAACACCUGCACCUAAAAGAUCUUUCUGAAUAAUCAAAUAAGAAAUUCAAUUCAAAUUAUGUUCAGAAUAUUUUAAACGUUAAAUAUUUUCUUUAAUUGUAAUUUAGGGAAUUGAACAACCUAUAUGAAAUACUUCUAUAAUCUCCUAGCUACCAUAAUAUUAGGUGAACUGCAACAUCCCAUUUCCUGAUCAUUGGUGAUAAACUGAAUUUUGCUAAAACAUGUUACCCCUUAAUAUUGGUCCAUAUUCAAAUGACUUAAAGCACACAAAAUUUGGCUAUAAUUAAAUAAAUCCCAGUUGCAGAUGAAGGUAAAUUCCAAUAUGAUUGUUCUAUGGCUAAGAGAUUUGCUCCCAACUCUCCAAACUAUAGCUUUGAUGUGCUAUCAUACAUGAACCUCAUGUUGGCAUGAAUUCCAAACUCUUCCAUCAUGAAUUCAUUUUCCAAAGCCAUUCAAUAGAUAGAUUACUUGGUUUUGAGUUAAGUUUGUUCUGUGACAGCAAGGGGACAUCAGUAGUGAAAUUGUCUAUAAGGGAUCUUGAUACUCAACAAAAAGGAUGCCUAAGUCAUAUGUGAUGCAGUUGCAAAGAGUCCUUUCCACACCAGCACACAUCAUGAAGGACACCUCCUGACCUAGGAUCUUAUCUUGCUUGUCAAAUGCUUCACUAUCCUGCAGACUCGGUGGGACUACCCCAAACACCACCACAUUCGUGAAACUCUAUCUUCCCUACCAACUGUAUGUGAUUUCCCUCUUGCCAAUCUUACAUGGAUCAAAAGCUGCGUCAUUCAUCCCACUGUGCUUUGUAUUAAUGAUAUUUGUGUAUUUGUCUUCUACUCUCUGUUAGACUGUGAAGUCCUUGCCAAUGUAUCAUACACCUUCCUUAUUUGCAUUUAUUCUCUUUGGUGUCUGGAACAGUGCAGACUCCUAGAAAAUAAAUUUAACAAAAUCUUUCUUUCAAGAGGGAUGGCAACUGGGCUCAGAGCUCUCACCCGAAGUUGCAUAAAAUAUCUCAUGCUGGGCUUACAUGGAAUACUACACUUUAUGCCUUACAGAAUGGAUUCUCUCCGUUUUGGAUUCAUUAAUAUGGUAAUUACAACAUCUUAUAUAUCUGACUAAGUAUUCAUCUAUGCAUCAAAUUUUCCUUUUUAUUCUUUGGUAUUUCUUUUUUUCAGGUCGGGUCUUAAUACAUUAAGCCUUUAAAUAAAAUAACUGAACAACCUGAUGAUGUAGAGUAAAUCCUAGGAUCAUUAAGUCCAGUUCUCCAUAAAUUCUUUAAGAAGCAUUAAGAUAGUAAUAAUAACUUUCUAAACUUUUUAAAGUUCAAAUCAUACCAAAGUGCCAUCCUAUCACUCUCUGAGCCAAGAACAUGGAUAAUACUGCUUUCAAAUAUGGAUUAUUUAGAGAAUGCAAAACCAAACAAUUCUGGGUUUGCUGGUCUAAGCAUAAUGCAUCAGCGGAGAACUUCUGAUAUUUACAACAGGAAACAGAUUAUAAAUGGAAGAUGUUUAAAUCGACCAAAAUCAUUCUGAAUCAUCUCUAAUAAAGAGGAGCUUCCUGUUGCAUUCUAAAACUAGCCUAGCAAGUCAUCUAAAAGCAUCUUUUUUUUUUUUUUUUUUUUUUACUCAUCCAUUCAUUUAACAAAUGUUUAUUAAGCACCUACUCUAUGUUCUGCAUUGCUGAUGGGGCUGCACAUCAGCAGUUAAUACAAUAGGUUGUGCCCUCUUGAAGUGCGCUAGUAGUUAUAUAUAAUUCAUCUACAGUACUGGCUCCCAUGAGUGGUUCACUACUCAUAUAUAAAUAAAUACAAUUAUUUUACUCACAGACCACUCAUUGAUGUAAAUUUACACUUUGGGUCAUAGCACCUAGGUUCUAGUCUCCCUUCUGCAGAUUGAGUGGCUCUGAGAAGUCAUAACUAAUAGCCGCAGUUUCAUAUGUAAGGCUGGAUGAGUAACCUCUACCCUGCUUUUCAUACAGGGUUAUAUGAGGGUUUAAUAAAAAGAUCUUAUGAAGUGAUAAUGCACUGAACAUAUCUAUAAAAGAUGCAAUAUUAAUAUUACAUGCAUUGCUUUAUCUAAUACUAAUCACAGUCCUACAGUAUUAUAAGAUAUUUCUAUCUAAUAAGAUAACAUUGUUACCUCCACAUCAGAGCACAUAGGUAUCUGUAAGAAAUGUAUCUUUCAAGGUUUUUCUUUUUCCUACAUGAAUGCAUUCAUUUAUUUGCACAUAUUAUUAGCAAAAAGAGUUUGGUAGCAAUCAUCUUCCUUAAAGGCUUUUCUCAAGAAGUAUAGGUUCAUCUUCCUUAAAGGUUUUCCUCAAGAAGCCCCUGUGUAGAUGAUGGUGGAAUGCAUUUCAGUUGUGUUGUGGUUGGUAUGAGAAAAAAAAGCCUGGAACCAUCUCAGCAUUUAUUAAGCAGAACUGACUCAGGACGACCUCUGAGGUGCUUUAAAGUUUCCCAGCUGGGGAAGACCAAAAACUGUCCAGUUUUGACAAAGAGAAGAAAAGGAAGACAUUUGGUUGAAAAGUAGUUAGGGAAGAGGGGGUGUGUGUUACCUUAUAAACUCUGAAUAUCUUUAAUAUUAACCAGGAUGAAACUUGGCUUGCAUCUCUUGCCAGAAAUGAAAUUCAACAAUCGCUCAAGCUCAAAGACCCAGCAGCCAACUGAAAACUCCAGCUGCCUUCCCAACCUCUGCCC
rnacentral:lncRNA from 1 species